CUUUCAGCAAUAUUGGUACACGCGUGAUCCCGAAGCGAAAGGAGCUCCCCGGGGACCCUGACGGGACAAUCUGGUCUGUCACAGCAGCGCCUUUUGCCGGUGGCACUGGCCGGGCUCCACCGGGGCUGCUCAGGCUGGAAGGCUCGGAUCAGCCCUGGAAAGGCUGCACGAAUGCAGAUUGCCCUCGUGUUUUUCCAGGCUCCCAGACCAUCUGGCUCCGGCUCGGACAGCAGCCAGUGGGAUGAGGGGCUGGGGCAGCCUGGUGAGAGGGCUGGGCCCUGAGUCCUGCAGCUCUGGGGACCCAGCAGGCCGCAGAACCACCGGGCCCAGGGGCUAUGGAAGCAGGCAAGAAGAUGAACCAAGGCUGGAAGACAUCAGUGGGAGGAUGGAACUUGAAAUAUGGAUAUUGAAAUGAAUCUUCUGAGACCUUUUUGGGAUAAACCCAUCAGCUGUCUGAUCUGUCAUUCUGUGGCUCCUGAGAAGUGCUGGAUGAAGACAACACCUAAUCUGCCAUGGAUUUGUGCUGGGUGAGAACUGCUGGUUAAUCUGGCUCUUGUGAUAGCAAAUGAACCAAUGGAAGCUGCUGAAACUUCCACUGCCAAAUAGUCUGGGAAUCUGGCUGCACAUCCAUGUUCUGAUGCCAUCAUGUGAAGCUGGACACGUGAAUGCUUUGUUUUCCAGAUGUAUUUUCUGUAGCUGGACAGAGGAAUACAGGAAACAAAAUCAGAUGUGCUCCAGGAAAUAUUUCUUUCACAGUGGUACUGCAGCCAGUCUACAGGAGCUCUUCUCUGAACAUUGACUGAACUAAAACUGAGAGAAAAUUUAAAUUGAUGUACAUAAACUUUAUUAACCACCCAGUUAGGAUGAGAUUAAUUGCAACCAGGAGCUCACUCUCCCUAACUGUAAAAAGAGCCUAAAAGAACCUUACAGUUCAUGUCUAGAGUAGAGGAAAUGUAUCUUGCCUUUAGUGACUCUCCAGAUGUUCUGUACUCAGUCUCUAUACCAGGGAUAUAUGCUUAAAAAUAUGAGUUGAAAUUUAGCUACAGCAUAGAUAAGUUAAAAUGAGAGAAAAAUGGGAGAGGGGAAAAAUAUCACAAAAGUCAUAGGAUACGACAACUUUCAUUGACUAUUUUAUUUAAAUUUAUUAAUGAUUGAACUGUUAUUAUUCUGUUUUUAUUACAAUAAAACAUAUUGCUUACUUUUUUUUAGAGGCUCA
rnacentral:lncRNA from 1 species